GAUGAACGCUGGCGGCGUGCCUAACACAUGCAAGUCGAGCGAUCUCCUUCGGAAGAGAGCGGCGGACGGGUGAGUAACGCGUGGGUAACCUGCCCUGUACACACGGAUAACAUACCGAAAGGUAUGCUAAUACGAGAUAAUAUGCUUUUAUCGCAUGGUAGAAGUAUCAAAGCUCCGGCGGUACAGGAUGGACCCGCGUCUGAUUAGCUAGUUGGUAAGGUAAUGGCUUACCAAGGCGACGAUCAGUAGCCGACCUGAGAGGGUGAUCGGCCACAUUGGAACUGAGACACGGUCCAAACUCCUACGGGAGGCGGCAGUGGGGAAUAUUGCACAAUGGGCGAAAGCCUGAUGCAGCAACGCCGCGUGAGCGAUGAAGGCCUUCGGGUCGUAAAGCUCUGUCCUCAAGGAAGAUAAUGACGGUACUUGAGGAGGAAGCCCCGGCUAACUACGUGCCAGCCGCCGCGGUAA
rnacentral:rRNA from 1 species